rnacentral:tRNA from 1 species
GCCGGCGCAGCGCAGCGGAAGAGUACGUUCUUGAGGUGCGAGACCGCGCGUUCGCUUCUGCGCCGCUGGCACCA